UAGUGUCAGUAAUACAAACAUAUAUUCCUGACACCAUAACUGUGAAAACGCUAUUCACCCUGGCUUUAUGUGAUAAUGGCUAUGCCCCUUCCCUUUCAUGACACUGUCAAAAAGGUACCAAGCAUGGAUGUCAUUACAAUUAUGCCCCCUCCUGGAAAAAUUCCUGCGGACGCCCAUGCCUACCAUGGUGACCACGGGUAACGGGGAAUCAAGGUUCGAUUCCGCAGAGGGAGCCUAAGAAACGGCUACCACAUCCAAGGAAGGCAGCAGGCACGCAAAUUACCCACUCCCAACGCAGAGAGCUAGUGA